AAUGAACGCUGGCGGCAUGCCUAACACAUGCAAGUCGAACGGCAGCACAGGAAGAGCUUGCUCUUACGGGUGGCGAGUGGCGGACGGGUGAGGUAGACAUCGGAAUCUACUUUGUCGUGGGUGAUAACGUAGGGAAACGUACUCUAAUACCGCAUAUGACCCACGGGUGAAAGCAGGGGUUCUUCGGACCUUUCGCGAUUGAAUGAGCCGAUGACGGUUUAGCUAGUUGGCGGGGUAAAGGCCCUCCAAGGCGACGAUCCGUAGCUGGUCUGAGAGCAUGAUGCGAUACACGGGAAGUGAGGCAGGGCCCAGACACUUACGGGAGGCAGCAGUGGGGAAUAUUGCGCGAGGGGCGAGAGGGUGAUACAGCAAUAUGGGGUGAGUGAUGAAGGAGUUAGGGUUGUAAAGCCAUGUUGUUGGGAAAGAAAAAAAGCAGGUUUAUACGCCGUUGUAAUGACGGUACCGAAAGAAUAAGCACCGGCUAACUUCGUG
rnacentral:rRNA from 1 species